rnacentral:rRNA from 1 species
GGGAAUCUUGCGCAAUGGGCGAAAGCCUGNCGCAGCGACGCCGCGUGAGGGAAGAAGGCCUUCGGGUUGUAAACCUCUUUCAGGAGGGACGNNNNNACUCGGGUUAAUAGCCCAGAGGGUGNCGGUACCUCCAGAAGAAGCCCCGGCUAACUACGUGCCAGCAGCCGCGGUAANNNGUAGGGGGCAAGCGUUGUCCGGAAUCAUUGGGCGUAAAGAGCGUGUAGGCGGCCAGAUAAGUCCGCUGUGAAAUCUCGAGGCUCAACUUCGAGCUGUCGGUGGAAACUGUCUGGCUAGAGUCCGGAAGAGGAGAAUGGAAUUCCUGGUGUAGCGGUGAAAUGCGCAGAUAUCAGGAAGAACACCCGUGGCGAAGGCGGUUCUCUGGGACGGUACUGACGCUGAGACGCGAAAGCGUGGGGAGCAAACAGGAUUAGAUACCCUGGUAGUCCACGCCGUAAACGAUGGGUGCUAGGUGUGGGCGGUGUCGACUCCGUCCGUGCCGAAGCUAACGCAUUAAGCACCCCGCCUGGGGAGUACGGCCGCAAGGCUAAAACUCCAA